rnacentral:rRNA from 1 species
AUUGAACGCUGGCGGCAGGCCUAACACAUGCAAGUCGAGCGGAACGGGCGACGGGUGGGUAAUGCCUCGUUAUCUGCCUGGUAGUUGGGGAUGACUUACGGCAACAGGCGCUAAUUCCGCCCACUCUCAAAUGAGUCUAGGUCGGAUUAGCUAGUUGGUGGGGUAAAGGCUCACCAAGGCGACGAUCCGUACCUGGUCUGAGAGGAUGAUCAGUCACACUGGAACUGAGACACGGUCCAGACUCCUACGGGAGGCAGCAGUGGGGAAUAUUGGACAAUGGGCGAAAGCCUGAUCCAGCCAUGCCGCGUGUGUGAAGAAGGUCUUCGGAUUGUAAAGCACUUUAAGUUGGGAGGCGUUACCAACAGAAUAAGCACCGGCUAACUUCGUGCCAGCAGCCGCGGUAAUAC